AACGAACGCUGGCGGCAUGCCUAACACAUGCAAGUCGCACGAGAAAGUACUUCGGUACGAGUAGAGUGGCGCACGGGUGAGUAACACGUAGGUGACCUGCCUUUUGGAAGGGGAUAACUCGAAGAAAUUCGGGCUAAUACCGUAUAAGCAGCACAAAGGUGAGACUAGUGCUGGAAAGAAUGCUUCGGCAUUUACCGAAAGAGGGGCCUGCGGGACAUUAGCUAGUUGGUGGGGUAACGGCCUACCAAGGCGACGAUGUCUAGCUGGUUUGAGAGAACGAUCAGCCACACUGGAACUGAGACACGGUCCAGACUCCUACGGGAGGCAGCAGUGGGGAAUCUUGCGCAAUGGGGGAAACCCUGACGCAGCAAUGCCGCGUGAGUGAGGAAGGCCUUCGGGUUGUAAAGCUCUGUCGUAUGGGAAAAAGGGCAAACGGUCUAAUAGGCCGUAUGUUUGAUGGUACCAUAGAAGGAAGCACCGGCUAACUUCGUGCCAGCCGCCGCGGUAA
rnacentral:rRNA from 1 species